CGAGCGGCGGACGGGUGAGUAACGCGUAGGAAUCUACCCAGUAGCGGGGGAUAGCCCGGGGAAACUCGGAUUAAUACCGCAUACGCCCUACGGGGGAAAGGUCCGCCGGAGAAAGAGGGGCCCGCGUCUGAUUAGCUAGUUGGUAGGGUAAAGGCCUACCAAGGCGACGAUCCAUAGCUGGUCUGAGAGGACGAUCAGCCACACUGGAACUGAGACACGGUCCAGACUCCUACGGGAGGCAGCAG
rnacentral:rRNA from 1 species